rnacentral:rRNA from 1 species
GGGCUACACACGUGCUACAAUGGCCGGUACAAAGGGCUGCCAAUACCGGCAAGGUGGACGACGAACCCCAAAAGCCGGUCUCAGUUCGGAUUGGAGUCUGCAACUCGACUCCAUGAAGUUGGAAUCGCUAGUAAUCGCGGAUCAGCAUGCCGCGGUGAAUACGUUCCCGGGCCUU